AACUAAAGGGGAGCUAUGAACGCCGUCUUUUAACCCGGUCACCUGGGACGGCUGGAGCAGUGGUGAGACCGACCCCAGGAGGC
rfam:Deinococcus deserti VCD115, complete genome.